GUGAAGCUGGAAGCUCCAGCUUUUGAAAUGUAUAAGAGGGACAACAAUUUCAGUUCAUUCAAGGACCAAAUUUUCAGGAUGACCUCCUUUAUGUGUAUGCAGUUCCAGCUGAAUCACUGAAACAAGAGACUCCCAUCUGAGGUUACUGCAAUUUCAUGGAUUUCCCACUGAGUGUAUAUGCCG